UACGUAGGGGGCAAGCGUUGUCCGGAUUUAUUGGGCGUAAAGAGCGUGUAGGCGGCCAGACAGGUCCGUUGUGAAAACUCGAGGCUCAACCUCGAGACGCCGAUGGAAACCGUCUGGCUAGAGUCCGGAAGAGGAGAGUGGAAUCCUGGUGUAGCGGUGAAAUGCGCAGAUAUCAAGGAAGAACACCCGUGGCUAAGGCGGCUCUCUAGUACGGUACUGACGCUGAGACGCGAAAGCGUGGGGAGCGAACAGG
rnacentral:rRNA from 1 species